rnacentral:rRNA from 1 species
CUUCCUAAAUAUUCUAAAAGCAACAGAACACUUCUGAACUUAGAAGCUAAGCAUGGUCAGCCUUGGUUAAUAUUUUGAUGGGAGAUCACCCAUGAAUACCAGGUAUUUUAGGAAAC